UAGUGCGGCGAUAGCAGCAUUAAUGCAUCAGAACUCCAUUGAUUGCGCAAAAGUGUACUAGGAUGGAUGACCUCCUGAGAAGUCACUGUGUCGUACCUA
rnacentral:rRNA from 1 species